rnacentral:rRNA from 1 species
ACGGGAAGAGCCCAAACCAACAAGCUUGCUUGUUGGGGUUGUAGGACACUCUAUACGGAGUUACAAAGGACGACAUUAGACGAAUCAUCUGGAAAGAUGAAUCAAAGAAGGUAAUAAUCCUGUAGUCGAAAAUGUUGUCUCUCUUGAGUGGAUCCUGAGUACGACGGAGCACGUGAAAUUCCGUCGGAAUCUGGGAGGACCAUCUCCUAAGGCUAAAUACUCUCUAGUGACCGAUAGUGAACCAGUACCGUGAGGGAAAGGUGAAAAGCACCCCGGAAGGGGAGUGAAAUAGAACCUGAAACCGUGUGCUUACAAGUAGUCAGAGCCCGUUAAUGGGUGAUGGCGUGCCUUUUGUAGAAUGAACCGGCGAGUUACGAUUUGAUGCAAGGUUAAGCAGUAAAUGUGGAGCCGUAGCGAAAGCGAGUCUGAA